rnacentral:rRNA from 1 species
CCUACGGGAGGCAGCAGUAAGGAAUAUUGGUCAAUGGGCGGAAGCCUGAACCAGCCAUGCCGCGUGCAGGAAGACGGCCCUAUGGGUUGUAAACUGCUUUUGUACCGGAAUAAACCCCCGAACGUGUUCGGGGCUGAAUGUACGGUAAGAAUAAGGAUCGGCUAACUCCGUGCCAGCAGCCGCGGUAAUACGGAGGAUCCGAGCGUUAUCCGGAUUUAUUGGGUUUAAAGGGUGCGUAGGCGGCCUGUUAAGUCAGGGGUGAAAGACGGUAGCUCAACUAUCGCAGUGCCUUUGAUACUGACGGGCUUGAAUGUACUUGAGGUAGGCGGAAUGUGACAAGUAGCGGUGAAAUGCAUAGAUAUGUCACAGAACACCAAUUGCGAAGGCAGCUUACUAAGGUAUGAUUGACGCUGAGGCACGAAAGCGUGGGGAUCAAACAGGAUUAGAUACCCUGGUAGUCCACGCCCUAAACGAUAGAAUACUCGAUGUUGGCGAUAUACGGCCAGCGUCUAAGCGAAGCGUUAAGUAUUCCACCUGGGGAGUACGCCGCAGGUGAACGUCAAAGGAAUUGACGGCUGAGAGCGCGACGGACGACGACGAGGGAGGAGG